AGGUUGUUUGACCCCCAAAGGGGUCUUGACCCACAGGUUGAGAACUAACCUAGAGGAAGAGCUAUUUACUUAUGUUUUUGUAGGAGAAAACUGAUGGACUCCCCUUAGGAGGAUGCAACCACGUUUGGAAAAAGAUGAAGGACAAGGAAAAGAUGAAGAACCUACUCAAUCUUAACCGUGAUUCUGUUUCCAGGUUGCUAACAGCGCACAGGGAGGAGUAUUUGUUUAUAUUUUUACAGGCAAAGGAGAUAGGUGGAGUUUUUUCUUCAGCCAGCAAGGCCCAGAAGAAAGGAAGCUGAUGCUGUGACCUGGGAGUUGAGAAAACAGCCAAGAGACCCCUGUCCUGUUGCUGAAGUUACCAAAAACGUCAAGAAGACCUCGCAAACUCAUGAGAGUAUGCUUGUUUGACUUCAGAUAUAUGGGGAAUAAAGACAUAGCAAGGUAAUUUCUGCUGUUUUCCUUCUCUUCCAACAGAGGGCAGUGUUAGCCACGCCAUGUAAGACCCAGGAAAAUCAGCACAUAACCAUUUAAUUAAAAUCUCUGAAAAUGUGGCGGGAAAUGUCAGCUGACACUAAGCAUUGACAUUAGGACAUUCAUGGUUUAUUGAAUGGUUCUUAACAUAAUAAAGUUUUAAUUUAAACCAGUGUAAACUUAAGUAAAUAUAUAUUUUAAAGUUUUCCAAAAGGGCUGAUUAGGCUGUUGAGCAGUAUUUCUAUCUUGUGAUAAGGAGAAUUUCUAUCUUGUGAGAUCUCAUCGCCCCUAGAACAGAUGCUGGUCUUUCUGGAAGGACUUGAGAAUAGGACAGCGCUCCAGGGAAGGCAGGAAUUUCUAAAAAAAAGGACAGCUGCAAGGCUGGUAACUUUGUCAACAAUCUAGAAAUACUGGGCAUCAGUUACUAAGGUAACUGGAAAUCCCCAACAGCAAUGGAGAGAUACAGUGCACAUUAUCCACUCCUUUUUCUUGUUUUGCUUUUUAAACCUUAGUGAAAUAAAUAUAUGAAGAAGUAUUUGAGGUACCCUAAGGCAAAGGUAACUCCUUUUCUUUUUUUAAAUCAAUUUAUUUUGGGGCUCAUACAACUCUUAUCACAUCCAUUGUCUGAAGCACACUGGACAGGCCUUUUCAAGAGGAUUUUUUGUAGGAUAGAGUUUAGCUAGGUAACCCCAAUACACUUUUGUUUAGUUCAAUUCCAGGGCACUUCCGAAAAUGAAAGAGUCUCUUGGAAUGGGAUUUCCUGUUUUGUCUCUGGAACAUCUCCUACUAGAUAGUUGAGAUGAAGAGUUCCAUGUUCCAUUGCUUUCCGCCACCUCUUGAAGCAGGUAUGGGCAUUGUCACAAUGAGCCUUAGCCACUGGUAUCCUGUCGACCAAUUUCGCUAUGUUUUCUAGAGGAAAAACGCUUUCUCUUCCGCAGUUCAUUAUAAAUUUUAUUUAAUGGUAAAUUUUAUUUACCAUUUACCAUUAUUCAUGGUAAAUUUUAUUUAAUGGAAUCGUAUCAUGAAAAGAAAAUAAACUUCAUAACUCUUACGACUAUUAAACAUUCAGGAUCCAAAUUUAACUCAAGGCCAGAAACAGAUUAAAAUGCCGCUUAUUUAUGAGUACUAAACUCCUGGAUUCCCGCCCCUCACCCUAUUUCCACACUGCGUGUUCAACACAGCUCACUGUCUUCUCUGACUCUUGUCCUUCCUCUCCUCCUGCAGAAGGACUGAAUCUCACCAGAGGAUGGGCCACUGAACUCUGGGGUUUUUGAAAAGAAGGGAAGUGAGAAGCUGUUAAGUUUCUUCAUUAUGGUCUUACAGUAUAAACAGUUUUAAAGAUACGGUGAAGGUUUUUUUCCAUUUCCAGUGGUAUUCCCCAUUUAAUCCUUGGAAUGAUGGAAUGCUGAGCAUAGGUGGGAGCCUGGUGAUUAUUACAUUUUAACUGGAAAGAAGCUAAGCUUGAGAUACAUUACUGUAGCACUCCCUUUCCUAACUGUAAUGUCUGUUACAGGGUGAAUGAGGCCUGGCUGUCUAAACACUUUGGAAUAGACCAAAAAUUGCAAACCCUGCAGAUCAGGAGUAAUGCAAGCCCGGCUUCAGCACCUGAGUAGCCUGGAAAGUUCAUUUACGCUUAAUCACAGUUGUGCAAUGACAGAAGCAGAUAUCUUCCACCAGGCACUUCUGAAAGGCAGCACUGCUACUGAAGUUUCCACCAGUACUAGAUACCAUAUCUUUUUUCACCCAGCGCUUCAAGAUCAUCUUUCCACAGCACCAAAAACUUCUGAAACAAGCCAUGAGUCUUCAGAAGUCCACACAGAAAGCAAUUGAAAAGCUUUUUCAGCAGUUCCUAAAGGUCCGUUGUAUUCCAUAGCAGUGUCCAUCUGCUGCCUUAAUACUAAACCUAUACCAUGUCUGAUGAGAGUACACGGGAACAA